AAACCCUUUGUUUUUUUAAUUUUUUUCAAAUGCGGCCAAUUUUUUAAUAAAGGGGGGGGGGGGGGGGGCUAUUAACCCACUCUGCUAGGGUUUCAUUUAGCUCACAGCCACCGAACCACCUCCAUGCUUGGUGGCCGUUGAUGCACGAAUAGUGACCAGAUCUUGUUGCCGGAGGCCGCAACUAUGGAGAUCUAGUAAGUUUUCUCUUUCUCUUUUUUCUUAUUCUUAAAAAAAGGGCUUCAAAUCCUACUCUAUUCUUUAAAAAAAAGAAAAAUUCGAAGAAUGAAAAAGAACUUAACACCGUUUGACCCUCGUCCAUAUCUCCCUGCUUUUGAAAUAUUUGGACUCUCAUCGGCGUCGAUUCAGGUAUUAUUUUCUCAUUUUUUAUGCUAAAAUCGCAAAACAAAUCAAAGGAAACAAUAAAAUCAAUAGAUAAAAAGAUUUUGAAAUCACCUCUUUAUUUCUGGUUCUUUUUUUUUUGUAUUUCAAUAUGCGUGUCUCUAAAAAAAAUUACAUUUUUUGCUCUUAGCUAUAUAGCCGAAAACACAUCUUGUUUCUACUGUUCUCUUUUCGUGUUGUUGCUUCCGUUGUCCCUCUUUUAGUUUGCUUGCAGCUUGGGAGGAAAUCAACAAGCGGGGGUUUCCUUUUUGGUGCAAAGGACGGGCAGAGCCGUCCCUCGAGCGAUGUUUGGGCCGAGAACGCACGUGGUUGGCAGAAGGGAGGCGCGGCGCUAGGGUUUCGGUUGGCUGAACUUGGUUUAGGCAUCGGGCCUAUCGGGCUUAGGUGCUGGGCUUGGUUUUGGGUCUUAAUGUAACAUGAACUGUUAUUAUUUUUGGUUUUUUUUUGUUUAAACGGGCCGGGCAAAAUUGAGCCCGUACAGUGAGGAUUCUUCACUAGGGUGUGUUAGAAUUAAGGUCACCAGUUGCUUUGAUUCAAAGAUAGUGAAUUCUUCUCACUGAGUUAGGCUCCGCAAGCGUAGGGAAAUCGAACUAUAUAAACAAAUUUUGAUGUCCCCCAUUUAUAUUAUGCCUUUUAGAAUAUUUUAAUAAUAAUUAGAACAUUUUAAUAAAACUAAUAAAAGAAUAGUAUGUUUUGUAAGUUUAUGAAAGAAAAUAAAAACUUAAGAAAAUUAAGAUAUAGCUAUUCGUCGACGAUUUUGCCUUUCUUUUUGCUUUUCGAUGUUUCGACGUUAUCUUUAACUGCAUACAAUAAAUUCAGAUAUAGAAAAUUCAUUAAUCAUAUAAUUCAAAC
rnacentral:lncRNA from 1 species